AGAGUUUGAUCAUGGCUCAGAUUGAACGCUGGCGGCAGGCCUAACACAUGCAAGUCGAGCGGUAACAGGGGAAGCUUGCUUCUCGCUGACGAGCGGCGGACGGGUGAGUAAUGUAUGGGGAUCUGCCCGAUAGAGGGGGAUAACUACUGGAAACGGUAGCUAAUACCGCAUAAUCUCUAAGGAGCAAAGCAGGGGAACUUCGGUCCUUGCGCUAUCGGAUGAACCCAUAUGGGAUUAGCUAGUUGGUGAGGUAAUGGCUCACCAAGGCGACGAUCCCUAGCUGGUCUGAGAGGAUGAUCAGCCACACUGGGACUGAGACACGGCCCAGACUCCUACGGGAGGCAGCA
rnacentral:rRNA from 1 species